GAGCGUCUUCGAGAGGUUCCGGAUCGUUCUUCCAGGUCGACUCCGGACCGGCCG
rnacentral:lncRNA from 1 species